rnacentral:rRNA from 1 species
AUUGAACGCUGGCGGCAUGCUUUACACAUGCAAGUCGAACGGCAGCGCGGGGCAACCUGGCGGCGAGUGGCGAACGGGUGAGUAAUAUAUCGGAACGUACCCAGAAGUGGGGGAUAACGUAGCGAAAGUUACGCUAAUACCGCAUACGAUCUACGGAUGAAAGUGGGGGACCUUCGGGCCUCAUGCUUUUGGAGCGGCCGAUAUCUGAUUAGCUAGUUGGUGAGGUAAAGGCUCACCAAGGCGACGAUCAGUAGCUGGUCUGAGAGGACGACCAGCCACACUGGGACUGAGACACGGCCCAGACUCCUACGGGAGGCAGCAGUGGGGAAUUUUGGACAAUGGGGGGCAACCCUGAUCCAGCAAUGCCGCGUGAGUGAAGAAGGCCUUCGGGUUGGUUAAA